rnacentral:rRNA from 1 species
CGAACGCUGGCGGCAGGCCUAAUACAUGCAAGUCGAACGGCUCUUCGGAGCAGUGGCGGACGGGUGAGUAACGCGUGGGAAUGUGCCCUUUGGUACGGAACAACACAAGGAAACUUGUGCUAAUACCGUAUGUGCCCUUCGGGGGAAAGAUUUAUCGCCAUUGGAGCAGCCCGCGUUGGAUUAGGUAGUUGGUGAGGUAAAGGCUCACCAAGCCUACGAUCCAUAGCUGGUCUGAGAGGAUGAUCAGCCACACUGGGACUGAGACACGGCCCAGACUCCUACGGGAGGCAGCAGUAGGGAAUCUUGCGCAAUGGGCGAAAGCCUGACGCAGCCAUGCCGCGUGAAUGAUGAAGGUCUUAGGAUUGUAAAAUUCUUUCACCGGGGAAGAUAAUGACGGUACCCGGAGAAGAAGCCCCGGCUAACUUCGUGCCAGCAGCCGCGGUAA